rnacentral:lncRNA from 1 species
AUGUCUUACAUCACUAUUUUAAUUAAGUAUUCUAACCUUGAUUCUAGUUUCUUUGAGUUUUUUUUUAAUCUUUUAUUUUUAUUUGAAAAGAAUUUAAUUGACAAGAUUAACAGAAACUCGACUUUGACGAUAAUAAAAUAUCUCAUUAAAAUUUAUACAACAUAUAGAAAUGCUAAUUAUCUCUUAUUAUGUUUAACAUAAUCGAUAAUUUCAAUUUUGAUAAAAUAUCAGGAUGUAUUUUUUAAUACAUGUAAUUUAUUAUGUUUAACGUAAUCGGUAAUUCCAAUUUCCAAAAAUUAUCAGGAUGUAUUUUUUAAUACACGUAUUUUUAACGAACUUAGAUACUAAUAGUUUGUUUAAGAAAAAUAAUUAUGUUACUUGCGUUUAUCGAUACCUGAUAUUAUUCAAAAUUUCAAAAUCAUUUGAUAUUUUAACGAUAGACACUUCGGAUCUAAUAUAGGAACUCUUUUUGUGAUUCGAUUCAAAAAAGUUUGGUGGAUGCUAAUUGUAGUAAAAUAAUGCGAGAAAUAGAGAUAAAAAAGCAUUAUCGUUGGAUUCAUGGUAAUUUUCGUCUUCGUAAAAUACUUAUUAGUUAUCAACAAUGAAAAAUAUCGCAAUGUGUCAAGAAGGAAAAAUAAAUUUUUAAUAAAAAUCCUACUUACACAGUUCCAAAUCGUCAGAAACAUCAAGUGUCCAGGAUUAAAGUUUUUAAAUAAAUUGCUGUAUGGUGGGAAAAAUGGCAUUUUAUUGAUAUUAAUUAUCGAAGCAAGGGCCAUGGAGAGAAGCCCACUGUGAAUUAAAAAUUCCAUCUUGUGUCAGAUUUUUCCUGAAACAAAUCAAAACAAAAAAAAGAAGACAUAUUUUAAUUUAUUGAUUUAUUUCAAUUUCUUUUCGAAUUAAUGUAUGUGAAAGCGGCUUGUAAUAAGUUUAUUCUGAAGUUGUAUGAGUUUUACGCAUUUGAAUCGAUAUGUAUUUAUGUAUGUGUGUGUAUGCGUGCAUGCGAAUCUUUGUAUGCAUGUGUAUAAAUUAUAAUCGAGACGAGAUGCAAAAAGUCUUGAUCGUAAGACAAAAAUUCCAAAUAAUAAAUUAGUAAUUUUCUUAUGUAAAUAGAUGAAUUUACAAUAAAAAAUGUCAUCAAAAAAUUGAUACAUAUUUAAACAGACACGUGAGUCUAUUUAUCAACGAUUAUUCGUUUAAAAUAAUAUUUUUUGUUUAGAUAAUAUAAUCGAAGAAUUUUAGUAUGUCAUAGAUGAUUUUUGUUUUCAUGUUUGCAAUAGCGUGUGCAAUGUGCGAUACGUAAGAGAAAUAAAUUAUUGAAGUUAAUACUUGAUUGUGGUAAUUAUGAUCGAUGAAAUGAUCGUGUUCAAAAUCAAAAUGACUUUUAUUCGAUCUUAUUUGUUAUAACAUCGUUCAUUUCUAAUGUAUUUGAAUGUAACUAAAAAUUUUUCAGUUUAAAAUACAAAAAUGAUUACACUCGCA